GCACUAAUGGUUGAAUGGUACAAUGCUUCGUUGCCAUUCAGCAGUUCAUCUGAUGAGCUUGCUAUGACUCGAAGCGGUCCGCGUUCGAUUCGCGGUUAGUGCA